CUUUUCAGUACUCGAAACUUCAUGGCUUACUCUAGGUUUGUCAGAACUCACUUCAAAUUUUAGAUAAAUGUCAUGAAUGAGAAAAAAUUUGCAACGAAAAUUUUCUUCCGCUGUACGGCGUCCUCUUAAGCAGCUAGACUGGCAGCUACGUAUUGAGAGACAAUUAAGAGAAGCCCUUGAAGAGAUUUCAUCCAAUAAUAGCUAGUCUUUAAAGAAAUCUCUGCAAUUCUUGUUCCUUUCCUUUUCCUGUUAGCCAGAAUGAAAGAGAAGGUGAGUUCGUAUUUGCAGAGGCUGGUGAAGAGAAGGAGCUCAACGGCGAGCAUUUCAGAGGAGAAUAAUAGUGUGCGCUGGUGCUGCUUGCCCUGCAAUUCUAACGAGAAGAGAGACAAUUACAGGAUGCAUCUCUCUGCUAGUGAAUUCUUCAUAGAAUAUUGAGUUUUAUGUAUCAUUCUGACAAUUAAACACCAUUUAAAUAGC